rnacentral:lncRNA from 1 species
CCCAAAACCCAAAAUCACUUCUUCCUGUAACUCCAACAAAACCUGUUUUUAAACACAGCCUAAGAGAUUAAAAGAGAGAGAGAAACAGAGAACACAAACAGAUUGUAAAGAAUGAGAAAGAGAGAGAGUGUGUGAGUGUGUACAGUGAGUGUGCACCACCACUUGUUCUCUGCUAUGUGACAUACUCCUCCAUUUUCUUUCCACAGACACAGUAUCACAACCUGACGUCACUUGUGAAUGGAACGGUACCAUGGCAACACUUUGCUGCAGUGCCGAGUGUCCGCUGUUGGUGUACCGUGUGGCCUGACCACCAGGGGGAGAUGUGGAGCCAGGAGCUUACUGGACAGGACUACAACAUCAAAUCCCUGGAGUCAGACAGACAACGACACCUGUAAGGCCAAAAACCCAGUCAGUGAGAUGACACAGCUUAACAAGAUAGAUAGUACAAGCAGAUAUGGGCGACACCAACAUUUGUUUUUGUCUGGUCCCGUGUGGCUCAUUUGGUAGAGCAUGGUGUUUGCAACGCCAGGGUUGUGGGUUCGUUUUCCACGGGGGAACAUCCCCCUAAUAGCUGGUGCUGUGAUUGGUGUCUUGGCUUCUGAUCUAUUGGCUAUUCAUCCAUGUGUAGUGGCCUGUCUCAUCUGCUGGAAGUGUUCCAAAGUAACCAAGGCAAAGUGAAUGGAGAUUCGGAGAGAAGUGACCCCUAGGUGAUACUCUCCAACCCAGCUCCAACAUCCCUGGUUCUCUAGUUAUAUGUUGAAUGGUAUCAAGAGCAGGGCAUGCUGAUUGGCUGAAAGCAGUGGUAUUUCAGUAUACCAUGGGUCUGACUAAACAAUUAUUUUUACUGCUCUAAUU